AGGUGUUGAGAUGUGGGAAGUACAAAGACGUCACAGAAUGCGGGGCCUUUCCAUGGAAGUCAGGGCACAUCAUUUUGACACGGAGUAAGUGUAACCGACGUCAGUGUGCUGCUAACAGUUCCUCCACUUCCUCCACUGUCCCUGUCCCCAUACUGGGCUCCAACCAGUAAUCAUCUGCUUCGCAACACAAGUGACCACCCUCCUUGACAACAUGCAAAUGAGAUGAGCUAUACAAAAGCGCGCUACCCCAGCCGUUGAGCUGAGGCCAACUGCCGAUCCAGGUCUAAUGGCACCAGUGUAACCGACAUCAGUGUGCUGCUAAUAGUUUAGCUUCCUCCACUGUCCCUGUCCCCAUACCGGACUUGAACCAGUGAUCCUCUGCUUC